UUCUUCUUCUUCUUCUUGUUCUGCUCCUCUUUUUCCUGUUCAGUCGAUUUUUGAUAUGACUGAAAACCCAAAAUGCAAAGCAGCAUUCGCAGAAAUUGGAUAUGCACCAAUUCGAAAAUAUUUUGAACAUCCACUCCACAAAGAAGCAGUUGAAUUGUAUGCUUCUCUUGUUGUCUCUGAUCUUGUCUCUUCUCUUUUGAAUAGAGAACAAAAGAAAGAAGAG
rnacentral:ribozyme from 13 species